rnacentral:rRNA from 1 species
CCUACGGGUGGCAGCAGUGGGGAAUAUUGGGCAAUGGGCGCAAGCCUGACCCAGCAACGCCGCGUGAAGGAAGCAGGCUUUCGGGUUGUAAACUUCCUUUUUCAGGGAAGAGUAGAAGACGGUACCUGACGAAUAAGCCACGGCUAACUACGUGCCAGUAGCCGCGGUAAUAAGGAGGUGGCAAGCGUUGUCCGGAUUUACUGGGUGUAAAGGGCGUGUAGCCGGGUUGACAAGUCAGAUGUGAAAUCCUGCGGCUUAACCGCAGAACUGCAUUUGAAAGUGUUGAUCUUGAGUACUGGAGAGGCAGGCGGAAUUCGUGGUGUAGCGGUGAAAUGCGUAGAUAUUAGGAAGAACACCAGUGGCGAAGGCGGUCUGCUGGCCAGCAACUGACGGUGAGGCGCGAAAGCGUGGGGAGCAAACAGGAUUAGAUACCCCAGUAGUC